rnacentral:tRNA from 1 species
UUCCCUGUGGCUCAGUUGGUAGAGCAUGGUGUGUGCAAUGCCAGGGUUGUGGGUUUGAUUCCCACGGGGAGU